UUACUACUCCCUCCGUUUCAAAUUACUCGUCGCUGAAAUGGAUGUAUCUAGAACUAAAAUACAUCUAGAUACAUCCAUACGUGCGACAAGUAAUUCAGAACGGAGGGAGUAGUUG
rnacentral:pre_miRNA from 1 species